rnacentral:lncRNA from 1 species
GAGGAGCAAGCACACACCCCCAUAAAAUACUUCUCUUUACCAGGAAGAAGGCCAUUCAGGUCCAGCAGAACUUGUCUUCAUGAUGGAGAUGGUAAGAGCAUGGUCUCUGCUUACUUCACAAAGCUAGGUGCUUCAUCAGUUACGAUGUGACAUGGAAGGACUGGAGAGUACCAGCAAGGAACCAAGGAAACACCCUCGAAGACACACCCAGAGGCACGUUGAUCCAACUGCACACAAGAUCCCAGAGCCACUCAAAUAGAUAAUGAAGACUCUCUACCACAGAUAGGAUCUCUCUAUUUUGCAUAAGAGACUGAACUCAAACUUGAAGCUCUCCCAUCUCAGUCUCCCAAGUAGCUGGAUUUGCAG